GUCCUACGGGAGGCAGCAGUGGGGAAUAUUGCACAAUGGGGGAAACCCUGAUGCAGCGACGCCGCGUGAGUGAAGAAGUAAUUCGUUAUGUAAAGCUCCAUCAGCAGGGAAGAAAAUGACGGUACCUGAGUAAGAAGCCCCGGCUAACUACGUGCCAGCAGCCGCGGUAAUACGUAGGGGGCAAGCGUUAUCCGGAAUUACUGGGUGUAAAGGGAGCGUAGACGGUAAUGCAAGUCUGGAGUGAAAGGCGGGGGCCCACCCCCCGGACUGCUCUGGAAACUGUGUAACUGGAGUGCAGGAGAGGC
rnacentral:rRNA from 1 species